AUGCAGACCAGAGCUAUCUUCGCUUCCCAGCCUCAUCCCAAAUCCCUAGCCGCCGCCAGCAGGGGCGCCCCAAAUCCCUCGUCGUUGCCAGCCGGCUGCCCAUCAAAUCCCUCCUCGCCGGAUGCGCCGCAAAUCUCUCACCGCCGGAUGCACCUCCUCCAGCCUCUCGCCCGCUCCCUCCACCAUAUUCGCUGGGUGUCGACCAAGAACGGUCGCCUACAAAUGUUGUCGUCAACCUUCUCACUACCUCCGGAGGAUGGUCGCCGUCAAUGUACCCGCCGCUGCCGUCACUUGACCGCCACCGCAUCCUUAUCCAGGAUUCAGCAGAAACUACAAGCAUUUUGGCAUCCCUCAUGUGCUGGGUACUGGUGGAAGCAAUGGCUCUACACACAUUUGUUUUGA
rnacentral:rRNA from 1 species